UAUUUAUUUGUUUUCAAAUAAAUUAUAAAAUAAACAAAAAAAAAUCCUAAAGAAUCCCUAAAAAAAUCCAAACCAAAUCCUAAACCAAAUCAAAUCUUAAUUCUAACCAAAUCCUAAUCCUAAUCAAAUCCUAAUUCUAACCAAAAUCUAAAACCUAAUCAAAUCCUAAUCCUAACCAAAUUCUAAUCAAAUCCUAAAUAAGUUCUAAUUAAAUCUAAUCAAACCUUAGUCAAAUCCUAAUCAAACCAUAAUCAAAUCCUAAAAAAAUCUUAAUCCUAAUCAAACUUUAAAUCAAUCCAAAAUCCUAACUCUAAACCUAAACCAAAUCCUAAAUCAAAUCCUAAUCAAUUCCAAGUAAUUUUUAUAAUAGAUUUAAACCUC
rnacentral:lncRNA from 1 species